rnacentral:tRNA from 1 species
CGGGCCGUAGUAUACCGGUAGUACGCAUCCUUCGGGAGGAUGUAGAUCGAGUUCGAUUCUCGACGGCCCGACCA